GAGCCCAGGGACUUGGGGAACCUGCCAGGUAGCCCUUCCUCACAGAAGAAUCCUGCCAACAGAGGUGUUCUGAGGGUUGUCAUACGGGAGAGUCUUGGCGAGAGAGAGACCUCUGCCGUCAGUCUGGGGUCCCCAUCCCCAAACAUUACAGCAGAGCUCUAGGAAGGACGAUCUACAUCCAGGGUUGUUCUUCUGCCCGCUCGCCUCCACGGCCAGUGUCAGCACCCCCCCUCAGUGCAGACAUCAACCAGAUGAGGCGGAAUCUUACAAACAUUCCAGCAGCUUUUUGAACUUUGCUGACUAGUUUGUCUCAGUAGUCGAAUUCACUCCUCUGCAAGU